rnacentral:tRNA from 1 species
AGAAGUCUAGUUAAAUAAAUAACAUUAGUAUGUCAAACUAAAAUUACUGACCAGUGUCUUCUA